GUUGCGGUAAAAAAGCUCGUAGUUGAAUUUCUGUUGAGAAGGAACGGUCCAUACCACGUAUGCGUAUCUGUUUUUCUUCUCGGCAUCUUCUCGGAAGUCGUUUCUGCGCUUAGUUGCGUGGGGCGAACAUCGGGACUUUUACUUUGAGGAAAUUAGAGUGUUCACGGCAGGCUAUCGCCAGAAUACAUUAGCAUGGAAUAAUACUAUAGGAUCUAGGUUCUAUUUUGUUGGUUUCUAGAAUUUAGAUAAUGAUUAAUAGGGACAAUUGGGGGCAUUAGUAUCAACACGUCAGAGGUGGAAUUCUUGGAUUGUGUUGCGACUAACUACUGCGAAAGCAUUUGCCAAGGAUGUUUUCAUUGAUCAAGAACGAAAGUAAGGGGAUCGAAGACGAUUAGAUACCGUCGUAGUCUUUACCAUAAACUAUGCCAAUUAGAAAUCUGUAAACGUUCAUUUACGACUUUACAGGCGUCUUUCGAGAUAUCAAAAUUUUUGGGUUCCGGGGGGAGUAUGGUCGCAAGAUUGA
rnacentral:rRNA from 1 species